UAGUCGAGCGGUUGUGCGUGGAUAAUAAACGGGCAUCAAGUGUAUUGCCGAAGCUAUGGACUCUACGGAGUGGUAGGGGAGCAUUCCAUUUGCGUUGAAUCGAGAUUGUAAAGUUUCGUGGAGCGGAUGGAAAAGCAAAUGUAGGCAUAAGUAACGAUAAGGCGGGAGAGUAACCCGCCCACCGCAAGACCAAGGUUUCCUGAUCAACGUUAAUCGGAUCAGGGUUAGUCGGGACCUAAGGGUAAGCCGAACGGUGAUCUCGAUGGACAAUCGGUUAAUAUUCCGAUACUGAUAUGAACUGCGAUGGAGAGACGGAGAAGCGUAAGCUACGCCAACAGACGGAAUUGUUGGUUAAAGAGAGUAGGUAUAGAGAUUGGUUAAGAGCUAAUUUCUGCUGAGACUUGACAGUACCGAGCGGCUACGGCCAAUCGGAUAGUUAGCCCAAGCAUGCUUCCGAGAAAAACUUCUAAGCUUCAGGUUUAUAUUACCCGUACCGUAAACCGACACAGGUGGUCGAGGAGAGUAUCCUCAGGUGCUUGAGUGAAUCACGGAUAAGGAACUAGGCAAAUUAACCCCGUAACUUCGGAAUAAGGGGUCCCUGCGAGAGCAGGGCGCAGCGAAGAGGUCCAGGCAACUGUUUACCAAAAACAUAUGGCUCUGCUAAUUCGAGAGAAGAAGUAUAGGGCCUGACACCUGCCCGGUGCUGGAAGGUUAAGAGGGGAUGUCAGCGCAAGCGAAGCAUUGAAUCGAAGCCCCAGUAAACGGCGGCCGUAACUAUAACGGUCCUAAGGUAGCGAAAUUCCUUGUCGGGUAAGUUCCGACCUGCACGAAUGGUGUAAUGAUCUGGACACUGUCUCGUCCGUGAGCUCAGUGAAAUUGUAGUCCCGGUGAAGAUGCCGGGUACCCGCAACGGGACGAAAAGACCCCGUGAACCUUUACUGCAACUUAACGCUGAAUUUGGGUACAUGAUGUGUAGGAUAGGCAGGAGACUAUGAAGCAGUGCCGCCAGGUAUUGUGGAGUCGCCGUUGAAAUACUGCCCUUUAUGUAUUUGAGUUCUAACCCCUGUAGGGGGACACCGUUUGGUGGGUAGUUUGACUGGGGUGGUCGCC
rnacentral:rRNA from 1 species